CAGUUUGAUUCUGACUGAAUAAUUAACUAAUUACCAACCAAAAUACAUGUAAAAUAUAGUAACCCCGCACUAACUAAAAUCUAAAUGAUUUAAUAACUGUAUCUAGUACAUACCCCACACACCAGAGCGCCACAGUAAGCAACACUUUUCAAUUUGAGAAAUCAAGAAAAGAGUAUGGGAAAAGGGCUGGCAAAAUUCGUGCCAGCUGCCGCGGUUAGACGAUAAGCCCAAGUUAAUUUAAUAUAAACCAAUUAAAGAUAGGUUAAACAAUAACAAAAGUCUAAUUUUUAAAAUCAAGGACUCGCAUCUAUCAAAUAAAAAUGAAAUCAUGAACUAAAACAUGGAUUAGAUACCCAUCUAUUCAUGAUGUAAAUAAAAGUUGAAUAUUACGAACAACAGUUUAAAAUUCAAAGAUUUUGGCGGUGUCUUAUAAAACCAGGGGAACCUGUCUCAUAACUCGAUAAUCCACGUAUGCCCAACCUUCUCUAGAUACUCAGCAUGUAUACUGCCGUUGUAAGCAUACCUUUAAAAGAAUAGUAUGCUACUAUGAUUGAAUAACUUAACUCAUAUACAUCAGGUCAAAGUGCAGCUAAUAAGAAGGUGAUGAUGGGUUACAACCCUAAAACAGACCAUCAACUAAGAAAUCAAAAAUCUUACGAAAGUGGACUUGGCCGUAAUCAAUUUAAAUUAAAAAAAUGAAUAAUAUCUAAGACAUGUACACAUCGCCCGUCACUCUAUCCUAAAGGUUAGAUAAGUCGUAACAAAGUAGGUGUAAUGGAAAUUGUACCUGU
rnacentral:ncRNA from 1 species